rnacentral:rRNA from 1 species
GAUGAACGCUGGCGGCGUGCCUAACACAUGCAAGUCGAGCGGCAGCGAGGGGUGCUUGCACCCUGUCGGCGAGCGGCGGACGGCUGAGUAACGCGUGGGAACGUGCCCCAAAGUGAGGAAUAACUGCCCGAAAGGGUAGCUAAUACCGCAUAUUAUCUUCGGAUCAAAGGAUUUAUCCGCUUUGGGAGCGGCUCGCGUCGGAUUAGGUAGUUGGUGAGGUAAUGGCUCACCAAGCCGACGAUCCGUAGCUGGUCUGAGAGGAUGACCAGCCAGACUGGAACUGAGACACGGUCCAGACUCCUACGGGAGGCAGCAGUGAGGAAUCUUCCACAAUGGGCGAAAGCCUGAUGGAGCAACGCCGCGUACAGGACGAAGGCCUUCGGGUUGUAAACUGCUUUUAUAAGUGAGGAAUAUGACGGUAACUUAUGAAUAAGGAUCGGCUAACUACGUG